CGUACUAGCUGUCAAAAAAACCGGAGAGAGCUCGCUACCUGUUUUGCGCAUGCGCAGUGGGCACAGAUAGGUUCCUCUCGCUGCCCUUUCCUGCCUGUGCUGCUCAUGCCGUACCGUAUUUACAGAAGUACGCGCGCAGCAAGUUUUUAGACUUCGAAAGGAAUAGAGACUCAAAGUGGCUCAAAAUUAAAAACAUUGAAAUACAGUACAUCUUAAAAUAUUCAGGUGGAGUCCCACUGAAAGGCUGUCUUUAUGGCAGGUGUCAACACCUAAUGAGAAAUUAGAUGCUAGUGGAAACUGUGUUCAUCAAGCUGUGUGGUAUAUAACUGGGAAACAUCUCUGCAAGCAAGGUGUGAAGGGCGAGAGGAAAAAGAUCCCACUGGCCAAGUGGAGAAGAUAUUGAUCUGCUAGGUGGGGUUGGUAGAAUCCACAUCCACAUCUAGAAUAGCCACAAUAACCUAAAAACUGUCAUUGCUCUGUAAUACUUCAUGCAUGUCGACCUCUUUUGCACACUUAUUUCAGUAUUGCAGUAAUAUAGAAUGGGUUGGUAUUAUUGUCCUGCUAUUGUUUAUGGCAGAUGAGUGGGAGCAGCAAAUGAAUUCAAUCCUUUAAGUGUCCAGUAGAAGUAAACCUGGUAGAAUUUAUUGCCAGGUUAACAUAGAGAAAAUUAUAACCUUAAAUCAG